ACCGUCUAUCAUAGCUGCUUGUGGCAUUAACACAUCAUGGGUGGUUAAAUGGCAAUAAAAUAUUCAGUCAAGCAUUGACAGAUACAUAGAAAAUACAGUAACAGAAAAACAUUGAUGCCAAAUUCCUUGCAAUAUGUCUAGAGGCUGCACAUUAGCAUUGUGAUUUAUUCUAUUACCAUCCUCACCAUUAGUUUUUUUGUUGCACUGGCAGUGGCAGAUUCAAUACCAGCCUGAGAUUAGUGUGGCACAUGUUGGAUAUAGGUUGAGAUUGGUGUGGCACGUGUUGAGUACAGGUUGACCCCAGAGGGUAAAUAGGAGAAUAUUGUACAGAACAAGCAAAAGCAAAUAGCAUAAAUGUGCAAAUAUCUAUAAAUGGAGUUUGGUCCUUGUAGGAAUUACCAGUAAGAUCUAUAGGCCUUUUGGGUUCGCAACAAAGACCCACUCAGUCUUCUGUGUCAUUCUUAUGCAACCAAUAUUUAUUACUACACAUACGCAGGUAUGAGGGUAAGGACAACAAUAGAAGUAUACAUCCUACAAGCAAAAACAUGGAACAAUGUUAAACUUAUAUUGCUCAUUCCAAAAAUCAGCCCAGCAUUGUUGAAUGCUUGAAUGAGCUGUAGAGAAAAAUUCUUAUGGCACUGCUAUAUACAUAAUCAAUACCUAUUAGACAAUAAAACUAAAGGAUGUGUCCACGUAGAUGCAUGAUUAAACCGGCUCUGAUUCAGAUUAUUUCAGUGGCAUUUAAUUGAACACCUACUGGGCAAAAUACAGUAUGUCCAGACAAUAAAGGAACUUGCUUUGUCAACCAAAUUGCAGAAACAAAACAAUGAAUUGGAAGGGGGAGAAGAGAUUGAAACCACUAAAUGAUAUGAUUCCGGUAAAUGGCAGUAGAACCAUGGUGCCACCAGAGGCAAUGCCCUCCACUGCGUCGCAGCGUCAGAAGUGCCACAAGUGGAGGUCCCUCACGACACGAUGGAG
rnacentral:lncRNA from 1 species